CUUCAAGAUUAAAAACUAUCAAAAGGUUUUUGUUUCCACAUCACUGAGAUUUUUCUUAAGGAUUUAUCUGUUUGGAUUUGUCACAACAUUAAGAGAAAAGAAAAAUGACGUAUGUCAUAUUAUCAGUGACAUCUUCUAUUGUCCUGAAUACGUUCCAGUACCUUUGUAAGAAAUGCCUCGUUCCCAGUCUACUUGUGGCAACUGUGAUCUGACGUUGUCUUUUUUGAGUCAUGAAAACAAACCAGCUCGGCUGGAUUCCUUGAUUGUAUUAAUCUGGAUGUGAUGGUGGCUGAAUACUCGGCUGGGUAGGAAGAGUCUUUUCCAUCCAAACUGAAACUCUUCACGUGUUCCUCCCUGAAAACGACCUUCAACAUCACACAGGACCGCUGUGGGUUUCAUCAGCUGUCCGCAGCGCUGCCUCGCCGCAGGUUACCGGAAGCCACCUGACUGGAGUCCUGACAAAGAGUGAUGGCCUCGGCUCGGAAAUAUCCAGCGUUCCACUGGACUGGAGUUGCAUCCCUUAAGAAAAUGAUCAAGAUGGCGACGGACAAAAUGACAAGCUCGAGGCUUCAAGGCGGAAACCUAGAAACCAACGGGUGUCGCCAGGGCCUCUCCCUUCCCUUUCGCAGCACUGACUGAUAAAAUCAAGGAAUCCAGCCGAGCCGGUUUGUUUUCGUGACUCAAGAAAUACAACUUCAGGUCAACUGUGCCACAACUGGACUGGCAACCAGGAAUGUAGUGACUACUUCCCUUCUGAAGCACUAUACUACAUUUUUAAUGCAGUAUAUAUAUAAAAAAAGACUGCAAACUUUCAAGAAACAGCCAUGAGUCUCAUGAGCUUCGAUCCCGCGCUGUACAUUCAUCGUCUUACCAUGAAGAAUUCAGCGUUUAGCUCGUGCGCUGUGGAUGGAGACGCAGGUUCGAUGACACAGCGCCGUCACCCGACAACACCGUCAGUGGGACAAAAGAGGGGAGAUGGAAGAAUCAAGUUGCAUCACGAUGUAAAGUGGAAGCUACGCCCCCCCCGGGGCCCACAGGUCACCGAUACACAUGUUGAAAGACGGUGCACGAAGGAGCAGGUUUCCCGGUCAGAGAGGAUCCGAUGACGGCCGGCCGGGAACCAGAUCCAGCCGGGCGUUUAUCCGGGUGUUUAUCCGGCAGCUCGGCGGCCAAAUGAGACGCGUGGCCGUUUCCAUGGAUGUGUUGUUUACAGAGGGAGGGUGUGAAAGGCUCUUACCACAUCACUAAUACAAGAGGACUCUUAUAUAUUAGACAAGGUUUAAGGACCAACAACUGGAACUUAACUGGCCAAUGAUUUUACAGAUGUUCCCAAAAUGAGUGACACGUUAGGUGUCCAAAGCCUGUACUGUUUAUUAAAUGUUACCUCAAUUUACCUUUUUUAAAUUGUAAGAAUUCCAAAAUAAUCAAAAUUGAGAAUAUGUUUUAUGAAGAACUCUCACCACCUGGAGCAACACGUCACCGUGGUCACAAGUCAGAUAGUGUGAUGCACAGUUGUCUAAUAUGAUUUUUGACCUGCUGAUCUUUAACAUUGCCAAGUUUUAAUCCGGAACCAGGAAUCCGGAACAUUUAUUGCCAAAAUAUGUUAGACAUAAGGAAUUUGACAUGGCGGUUGUGCAUAACAUCGGACAGUAAGGCAAUAACAUCAAGACUAGAUUAGUGGUUUAAACAACCCUCUAUUUAAUACCGAUACCCCCCCCCUUGAACUCCACUCAAAACCACCUCGGAGCCAGAACCCUGCAGGCCUUUUUGGAAGGAGAACCAGGACUGAGUGAAAAAGACUGAGCGAUUUUUUUUUAAGUCUGGAAACUUCAGGUGAAAAUUCCUCAUAGUGUAAAAGUCUUACCCAGGACAGUUCUUCCCUCUUGGAAGGUUUUUUUUUUCGUUUUUCCUGUGCCGAUGGUGGGUUUCGGGACAGAGGAUGUCGUAUGUGUACAGAC
ensembl:lncRNA